AAAUUUGGAGAUCCAAGAAAUUUACUCCAAUGAGUAAUAACAGUUUAAACUAGGGGUGUGCAUUCGGUGCAAAAGCAGUAAUUCGGUGCAAUGAAUUCGGUGAAUUCGGUUAUUAAACCUAUAGAAAUCUAAACCGUUUUCAAUUUCAAAUUGGCCAUAACCGAAUUCAUUCCGCAACCGAUUUCAAAUUCGAAAACGGUAAUGAAUUCGGUCUAACCGAAUACAUCUAUUACAAAAAAAUAAUACCCUGUUAUCAACUUAAGUUUGCAACAAUUCAGUAUUAACUUCACCAGAUUUGCAUAUAAUGCACACAAAGAAAUUGGGUCAGGGACAUUUUAUCAUAUUUCUUUUGGACAGAAACCUGUUCAGCCCAAAAAUAUUCUCCUGUUGGAUCAAGACUUAAAUCUAGGUUGUUGGCCAAUAUAAUAUUCAAGGCCAAGAAUAGACCAGUUUCAAAGAAGCACAAGUGCAUAACUUCAUCCAGAAUGUUGGCAAGACCUAUUAAUUAAGAGAAUCUCCCACGGACAAGGAGGUAAAAUUUUCAUUUUAGCAAGUUUUUUCCUUUUUAAUUUUUCUAACGGGUAAAAGGUGGAAUUUUUCCCCAAGGCCUUAACUUUUAAAGGCUGCACAACUGGAGAGAGAUUUCUUAUGUAUAAAAUACAAAGCUUAUGUUAUAUCAAAUCUAAUCUAAACUACUACAAAAGUGAGAGUUUGCAAUUGGAAGCUCAGAUUUCGUCCCCUUAUCAAUUAGGGGUGAGCAUUCGGUGCAAAUGCGGUAAAUCGGUGCGCUGAAUUCGGUUUUUUCGGUUAUUGCACCAAUAGAAAUCUAAACCGUUUUCAAUUUCGAAUUGGGCAUUACCGAAUUCAUGCAGUACCCGAUUUCAAAUUCAAAAACAGUAAUGAAUUCGGUCUAACCGAAUUCAUCUAUUAUGUAAAAAAAAAACCCUGAAGCAAAUUAAGAGAAUAUAUAAAACCAAUCUUUAUAGUUCAGCAACUACCAACCCCCGCAAGCCAUGAGAAAGCUACAAAUAUUAGACUGAAAAUAUGUAAAGAAGCUAGACAUAUGUAGGCCUUCUACUGGUUUGUAGUUAUAAAAGCUCAAUUGCUCUCUUCGAUAUGUUCUAGACUUGCUCCAAUGCUUUCCAUUACUUAUUCAGGAGCUGAUUACUUUUAUUGAGCUUAUUAAGAAUCCUAGGUACAACUUCUGGAGCCGUACUCUCACUAGAUGUGCACCAGAGAUUGAGAAUCUCCACGGACAAGGAGGUAAAAUUUUCAUUUUAGCAAGUUUUUUCCUUUUUAAUUUUUCUAACGGGUAAAAGGUGGAAUUUUUCCCCAAGGCCUUAACUUUUAAAGGCUGCACAACUGGAGAGAGCUUUCUUGUGUAUAAAAUACAAAGCUUAUGUUAUAUCACACCUAAUCUAAACUACUACAACAGUUAGAGUUUGCAAUUGGAAGCUCAGAUUUCGUCCCCUUAUCAAUUCAGGAUAACAAAUUUCCUAGUCGACCUUGGCCCAUUUUAAUGCCAGAGACACAGAGCCAAAAACAGAGGAGCACUUACCUAAGCGAGCCAGAGAUGAGCAGUGAUGAACCGGCGAUGAACCAGUGAGAUCUUGGUGCUUCGUCUUCGACACUCGGCAGCGAUGAACCAGCACGGCAGGACACA